rnacentral:misc_RNA from 1 species
GCUCUUCUAUUUCUCUCCUUAUUGCUUCACCGCACUCUCCUCAUCUCUAUAAACUCACCAUCUCUUCUUAUUGAUGACAUGCAUCACUCUUGAUUGUGGCUCGACCAGUAUAAGAAGUGCAGGAGAUGGUCGAAGAUGGUCGAAUCUGAAUUGCAGAUGCCAAUUCAAAAUUCUUGCUUCUAGAUCCAACAAACGCAUCAAAAAUCUCUUCAACUCUUAGAUCUCCUAUGAAUGUAGAUCCUGUAGCCAACCAGGUAAGUCUUCUCCUUCUUCUGUCUAAUAUCUUUUCUUCUUUUUUUUUUAUAACUGAAACGCAUUUCCAUUUUUCAGAAUUUCUGGACAUGGCGCCGAAACAUGUCUUUGCCAUGUCUUGCUGUUUCGGUGUCGAAAAUGUUUCCCACACAGGGAAACUUCAAAUAUUGUCGUUUCCAUGCUUUGCUCCCCAUACCCUGGCAUUCUAUCAUCAGACCAUGGAAGUAUAAUCUUGGGAACAA